UACGUAGGGACCAAGCGUUGUCCGGAAUCAUUGGGCGUAAAGAGCGUGUAGUCGGCUUGUUAAGUCUUGCGUGAAAUCUCGGGGCUCAACCCCGAGCGGUCGUGAGAAACUGGCAGGCUAGAGUGCGGGAGAGGAGAGUGGAAUUCCUGGUGUAGCGGUGAAAUGCGCAGAUAUCAGGAAGAACACCCGUGGCGAAGGCGGCUCUCUGGAACGCAACUGACGCUGAGACGCGAAAGCGUGGGGAGCAAACAGG
rnacentral:rRNA from 1 species